rnacentral:lncRNA from 1 species
UACAUCUCUUGAUAAGACAAAUUACAGUGGCAAAUUCUUACAAAGUAACAAAAGAAAGUUUAAGCACAACUACAAUAUCUUCCAGAGUUGAUCCUGACGAACACUCAAAAUGAAACUGCAGUUAUCCUGAAAAAAUGUUUACCAUAAUUUGAUGAGUUUGGCUACUCAGUAAGUGAUCAUCAUAAUCCUAAAAAUAAUCAUGGUUGAAAGAUAUCAAUAUUUUCAAAAAAGAGAUCUAUUAACAGAAAUGCAUUAACAGUUUCACUUUCAAAAAUGCAUAAUUAAGUAUAAUCCGAAUAAUUGAAAUGCAUAUAACAUUUUAACGGCAGUGCAUAAUUCAAAGGAUUUCACAAAUUACCCUACUGGCGCUCCAAGUAGGUCACCUAUAUACCCCAUCAGCGUCCUGAUGGGUCCACUUAAUCCCUAUCGACAUCCCAGAUAGGUCCACUUAAUCCCUACAGGUCCACUUAUACCGCACCGGCGUACCGGAUGAGUCCACUUAAUCCCUACCGGCAUACCGGAUAGGUCCACUUAUACCUCACCGGCGAACCAGAUGAGUCCACUUGCAUACUUAAACUAUUUCUAAAUUUCUUUAAACAUUUGAAAGCAGCAAUAUCAUGUACUCAACGUAUCACUGAAAUUAUUAAUAUGAAUUUCACUGAAACCAUUAAUAGCAGUCACUUUCAAAAACAUUUCAAAAAUAACCAGUCAAAUAUUUUGGGCUCAAAUUUAGAAAGGUAGCCGUUCGUAAAGACAUUUUAGCAUAAUUGCCAAUCUAAUAUGUAUAGAAAAACUCUUAUAGAAAUUCAAGAAUACGGAAUUAUCACAAUUUAUGGGAUGUUAAUUCGCAAAUAAACAUUUCACAGACAAUGCUAUAAUCAAUUGCAAAAUAUAAACUUUCAAAUAAUAAGGCAGUCAUUUGUACAUGAAAUUUACAAUGUCUAAAUAUUCAAAACCAGUAGAAAGAAAUCUCACAAUUUUACUAAAAGCAGGAACAUCACAUUUAUUAUUAAUAAUUUUACAGUAUCUAAAAUUUUCUAACAAUAGACAAGAAAAAUAAAUAAAUUUAUUUUUCUAAGAAUUUACAGCAUUUAAGAUUUCUAACAUAGAUAAAAUAGCACAAUUUUAUUAAAAAGAUUAUUUUUCAAAAUAAUGAGGUCACUUGCGCAUAAAAUUUAUCGCGCCUAAAAUUCAUGAUAAUAAGCAGAAGUAAUUAUUUCAUUUCAUUUUUAAGAAAAACGGAUUAUUUUUCAAGAUAAUGAAGUCACUUACCUAAAAUAUUUGAGAAGGAGCUUUUGAUAAAAAUUCGGCUAGAGAGAGAAAGAGCUCACUGUGUUUUGACUAGAGAGAGAAAGAUCUCAAAAAAAUUUUAGGGUGGGAGUCCUCGCCUCUCCUAUUUAAAUUAUUAAGAUACCUUAUUAUAUUAUCUUAUUAAGUUACACCUCAUACAUGAGGUGUAACAAUUAUAUUACACCUGAACGUUUAAAGCCCACGUCCACCAAAGGACGUGGCAAGGCAGCAAAAGCUUAAACCAAAAGCUUUUGAAAGUAGUGAUGGUCCCUAAGGACCAUCAUGCUCAUAUGGACCGUCACUUAUUAAAAGUUUCUUUCUUUUUUUUUUUUUUAAAUUUUAGGAUUAUUACAAUGAAACUCGAGAAUUUUCCACAAGAAGGAGCGGACCAUAUGGACCACCGCUCAGCACAUUAGAGGCCUAGCUAUAUUAUGGGCCACAAAAAAGAGCUAAAGAAGACCCAAGAAACUUUUUCAAUAUAACUGGAAAGACAUCCUUACUUAUUGACCCAACAAAUUCCCAGUUCCAAUCUCUGGCUUCCACCCACCCAGGCAACAUGAAACUCAAGAAUGAUGGUUGUUUUCUCGGUAACCCAGGCCGAAAUGGAUUUGGCAGUAUUUUCAAAAAUGCCCUAGGAAUUACCAUAUCUUCUCUAUCAGGCUACUUAGGUAUCAUGCACUCUACCAUGACUGAUUCCCUGGCCCCUCUUAGAGGGUCGCAAAAUAUUUAAAGCUACAUGGUGUCCCACCUGACAGCGGACGGGAAUUUAAAGACUGCAAUCUCAUGGGCUUCCAAGAAGUCAAUGCCCUUGGAGACUCAUAUUUUUAAUCACACUUUCCAUCAUUGCAGGUCUCUAUGUUCAACAUUCUUGGAGGGAGGCCAAUACAGUUCCUGAUGAGCUAGCUAAAGGGGGGGCUGCAGUGGGGACCGCAGACUCCACCUAAAUGUUUUAUACUUCUGUAUCAACACUCUUUCCCCUCCCUACAUCCUCGCUCAUG